CUGUGAAAGAACGUGGACGUGUUAGAACAGAGCUCCUGCAUUAGUGCUUCUUUAUAACACACACACAGUCCCCACCAACUGCCCAUAGAGACCCACCAGCAGUUUACAACAGCUCCCCUGCACUGGGUGGGUGGGUUUGCAGAGCCGGCGGGUGCCCCCUGUGCCCGUGCGGGUUGCGGCCUACCUGCCUAGCUGGAGCCGAGGACAGACCCGGACCGGAAGUACCGCGGCGGGACCUUGACCACGGCCGUGGUCGGCGACCCCUCACCUAUCCCUCCUGAAGGUAUUUCACCUGCCUCCUCUCGGCCCGCCCUGUGUGACACCCUGCCCGCUAGCCGCGGCGCCCGCUGUGAGGCUCCGUGCAGUGGGGACGUGCGCGGCUGUGCUUCCUGGCGGGACGUGGCUGGCGCUACUUCCACCGCCCGUCCCCCGAUCUCCGUUCCCCGCAGUGGAGCAGUGAGAGGGGGCCCCUUGCUUACAGGAACGCUCCCCACUUCCACCAGCGCAGCAGGAGGGAGCACUGGAACCGGAGCUGUGAGGGCCUGGGCUUGGAGUCUGGCGGCGCCAUCUUGGAAGCUGGCAGGGCGCCCAUGAUAGGAGCUGCUGACCUGCAGGAAGAUACAGUCCUGCUUUCAGUGUGUGCUGCCUACAUAUCUUUGCAUGCUGGAUGCUUGCUGCAUAUCAAGCACCCUCAUCCAUACCCUCAUUUCCAGAAGUUGUUACAUUAAUACACUUCCAGACAUACACUUCCAGACCUCACUAUCAGAACACCUUAGGUGCUUAUACCUACCCUGUACAUAUAUCUGAUUUUUCCGUCAGUGCACCUAAAUGGUAGGGGACGCAGGGGGGCCCUCCCCCAUACGGGCAGUGAUGAUGAUGAUGGUGAUGUAAACGCCACCGCAAUGUCUUAACCUCUCCCUUGCUCCUGAUGCUGUGAUACGAAUCCUAGCAACUAUCAAGCCCGCAUAAUUUUGUCUAUCCUCCUAUAUCCAAUUUGCUCCGUUAACGUCUACUUUAGUGGGAUAUACCCUCCGGUAUUAUGCCGCCUAAAUGCAAAAAAAAAAGAAACCUUUCAGGGAAUGACGCAAGUUACAUUAAUGUAAGUGUCUUUUCAAAAGACAAGUGAUUUGGUAUUGAUAUCAGCUGAGAGAACACUAUUGGAAGUGUAUACCAAAAAGUUUUAUUAGUGGACAUUGGCCCUCAUUCCGAGUUGUUCGCUCGCAAGCUGCUUUUAGCAGCAUUGCACACGCUAAGCCGCCGCCUACUGGGAGUGAAUCUUAGCUUAGCAAAAUUGCGAACGAAAGAUUCUCUAAAUUGCGAUUAGAAAUGUCUUUGCAGUUUCUGAGUAGCUCGAGACUUACUCUGCCACUGCGAUCAGUUCAGUCAGUUUCGUUCCUGGUUUGACGUCACAAACACACCCAGCGUUCGCCCAGACACUCCCCCAUUUCUUCAGACACUCCCGCGUUUUUCCCAGAAACGGCAGCGUUUUUUCACACACACCCAUAAAACGGCCAGUUUCCGCCCAGAAACACCCACUUCCUGUCAAUCACAUUACGAUCACCAGAACAAAGAAAAAACCUUGUAAUGCCGUGAGUAAAAUACCAAACUUCUUAGCAAAUUUACUUGGCGCAGUCGCAGUGCGAACAUUGCGCAUGCGCAAUUAGCGGAAAAUCGCUGCGAUGCGAAGAAAAUUACCGAGCUAACAACUCGGAAUGACCAGCUUUGAUCUUAAAACUUACCUAUGGUUCCAGCGCUGUGUGCUCAUUGCUUUGUUUCUAUAUUGUGCUGAUUGGUGUGGGUGAACACCUGCAAUGAGACAAGCCACAGGUUCCAGAGCGCAGAGAAAACAGUGUUUUUUACUCUCUUUAUCAAGCAUGUCACAUGAGAAUCCACAGUAGGUGGAUUUUCCCAUUUUGUACAAUCAGUAGCAGGUAACGGAUAAAAGGAGCUGAGCCUCUUAGUUACAUUAAAUUUCUUGCUAGGAGUUUUCCAUGCAGGGCCGGCGCGACCCGCUCAGCAAAGGGAUGCAGUGCAGGGAGGCGCUUGGCCAGAGAGGCGCCUUCCCUGCAACUGCAUCCCUUCUGUCUGUAUUGUAUCUGCCAGCUACCACUGAUGACAGGUAGCUCAGUGGCGCCAGCAGACAUAAGUACGGCGGCGAUGCGGCUAGCCUGCCUCAGUGCCUGACUAUGCCCACCUCCGGCUCCAGGCUCCACACACCGCUAUGCCGCCCUGCACGCACCUGUCAUGUUGCGGAGACGCGACGCGUCCUCCAUCCAGGAUGCAUUUUAAUAUUGAGCGCCGCCCCUUGCCCUAUACCCUUUCUCCUCUUUAUCCAGCGCCGCCCCUUGCCCUAUCCCCUCUCUCCUCUCUUUAUCCAGCGCCACCCCUUGCCCUAUCCCCUCUCUCCUCUCUUUAUCCAGUGCCGCCCACCCCCCUCUCUCCCCUUCCCUAGGUCUCUUGCCUCUGUUGCGAAUGCAACGCCCCCCUCUCUCCCCUCCCUUCUUCUCCCUCCCUUCUUCUCCCUCCCCUCCUCUGACUCAGGACUGGACUCUGGUGUGGAGUGGAGUGUAAUGGCCGCCGAAGAGGAGCCAGUCUAUGCAGACAGGAGGAGCAGGAAACGCUGAAGAGUGAAGACAGAAGAAGCAGUUACAGAAAAAAAGGUAUUGGCGAAGGUGAGGACCUACUCUCAAUUUCCGAUUGGAUAAAUUGGAAUCAAGUAAUAGUGAGAUAUACCAAUACCUAAAUGGUGUUACGUUUCCAUUGUCACAAUGGAAGGAAAAAAAAAAAACAUCAGGCUGGCAAAACAAGAAAAGAAAGGCAGCAAAAGAGAAGGCCCUCAAAAAACAAGCUGGUGCACUUUAUAAUUAUAUAAAAAAACAAAAAGUACUAUUGACAACACACAAACUGAAGACAUUCAAUCUGGUACUUCUACAAGUGAGAACGUCCAGUUGGAUGAAGACCAAGAAAGUACCUCUACAAUUCAAUUAUCACAAAAAGAAGAAAAUCUACCAAUUACUUCAACAAGUCAGUACCCACAACUGGAAGAAAAUGUAGCUAGCACUUUUGAAACUAGCCAAGAUCUGUAUGUCAUAACAGAAGCAGAUAUAGCGACGGGAGACAAAACUAACCAAACAGGGGAAGAAACAAAUUUACCAUUAUCAUCGCAUUCUCUUCAGUUAGAGGAUCCAGCUAAAUGGCCCAAAAUCACAGACAAAAUAAGAAUGAUUCUUAUAGAAGCAGGCCCUAUUCAGAAGAAAACCAUUGUUUACCCUAUGGAUGCCAAUAGACGGAAGUUCAGCAACACGUACUAUAAUCGUAAAAUGGAAAAUUGUGAAUUACUGCCAAGGCCUUGGCUAGUUUAUUCAGCAGAUAAAGAUUGUGUUUUUUGCUUCUGCUGCAAAUUAUUUUCACCAUCAGAUACAAGUGGCUCUUCCAGCUUUGUAUCUACUGGCUACAAUCGAUGGCAGAGUUUAUCCAAAGCUCUUCACGCACACGAAACAAGUCUGAGUCACAUACAACAUUUGAAGACAUGGUACGACUUUAAAAAAAAAUCUGAAGAAUAAGUCUACACUAGAUUCCCAAAAUCAACGAUUGUUCGAACUAGAAAAGAAACAUUGGAUCAAUGUAAUAACAAGACUUAUUGAUAUGAUUAAAUAUCUUGGUUCUCAGAGUCUUGCACUAAGAGGUUCAUCUGAUAAAAUCUACCAGAAGAACAAUGGAAAUUUUCUGAAACUAGUGGAACUAUUUGGAAAAUUUGAUCCUGUUAUCGCUACUCAUAUAGAGAGAACAAUCCGGACAGAAUCGAAAGUUCAUUAUUUAAGCAAGGAUAUUCAAAAUGAAAUGAUUGAAUUACUGGGCAAUGCCAUCACAGAAAAGAUUGUUUCUUCUAUCAAGGAGGCCAGAUAUUUUUCAAUCAUUCUGGACUGUACACCAGACAUUAGCCACACUGAGCAAAUGACUGUUGUCAUACGUUUUGUUUCGUGCAAGGAAAACAAUGUUCUAAUUGAAGACCACUUUUUAGGUUUCCUUGAAGUUGAUAAUUCAAGUGGUGAAGGUUUGUGUGAGAUUAUUCUGACUAAACUGUCUUCCUGGAAUCUUAAUAUUGAGAAUAUUAGAGGACAAGGCUACAACAAUUUUCGCCAAUAUGCGAGGAAAAAAGAUUGGCUUGCAAAAAUUAAUUUUAAACAAGAACCCACGUGCCUUCUAUGUGCCCUGUGCUGCUCACAGCCUUAAUUUGGUUGUAAAUGAUGCCGCCAAAGUCAAUUGUGAAACAGUCAGCUUUUUGGAACAGUUCAAGAGAUAUUUACGUUUUUCUCAGCAUCUGUGAAGCGUUGGGGAGUUCUCAAGAAACAUAUUUCUUCCUUGACACUUAAGCCUGUCUCUGAAACAAGGUGGGAAAGUCGCAUUGAUGCUCUGCGGCCACUCAGAUAUCAAACUGGAGAAAUUUAUGACUCGUUAUACGAAAUCUUUGUGAUGAAAAAUUUGAUAGAGAUUCAAGACAUCAAGCCAAGAAUUUCUGUACCAGUUUAAAGGAUUUCCAAUUCUUGUGCUCCCUUGUACUAUGGCAUGACCUGCUAAAUCAUAUUAAUCCUGUAAGCAAGAUGCUUCAAAAUGCUGGGGAAAAUAUUUCCAUUGCUUUGACUGCAAUUGAUAAUUUAAGAGUUUUUGUUUCUGACUACCGCACAGAUGCAAGUUAUGAGUCUUUGCUUGAAACUUCCAGACAGCUAUGCCAAGAUCUUGAUAGAGAGCCUCAAUAUAAACCUGCUUCAAAAAUAUGUCAAAGAAGAAAGGCUACACAGUUUGAUUAUGAGCACUCAGAUGAAUCCCGUCAAGCUCCUGCAGAUGUGUUCCGAGUUAAUUUUUUCUACACUGUUUUAGAUGUAGUGAUGUCAUCCCUCAAGGAAAGAUUUGAACAGUUGCAGCAACAUACAAAUAGAUUCAAGUUUUUAUAUGACCUAAAGAACAUUACUGAACAAGACAAAGAAAAUUUGAGACAGCAGUGCAUUAACUUGGAAACCCACUUAUCAGAUAGUGAUAACAGAGACAUCAAUGGAAAUGAAUUAUUUGAUGAACUGUGUGCCUUCAGGGAUCUGAUUUCAACAGAAUUGGAAAAUUUAGAAAAUCCAUAUGAAGCAAUUAAGUUUAUACAUUCCAAUGAACUGUCAUUCCCAAAUUUGAAAAUUGCAUUCAGAAUAUUAGUAACUCUUCCGGUUAGUGUAGCAAGUGGAGAAAGAUCUUUUUCCAGGUUAAAAUUAAUAAAAAAAACUAUUUGCGAUCAAGCAUUUCACAGGAGAGGCUUGUCAGUCUCUCAAUGGUUGCUAUUGAGUGUGAGGUUUGUGACCAGCUGAAAAUUGAAAAAUUGGUUUCAAAAUGUGCAAGUAUGAAAGCAUGCAGGGCUAAAUGGCUGUAACCUGUUCCAAUAAACCCUGAGAAUGCCAUGACCACUCACUUCAGCUAAAGUAUCUGGACAUAAAGAUUCUUCACUGGUUGAAUACCCAAAGUACAGUUUAAGCCUAGACUAUAUAAAUAAAUGUUGUUUAGCUAUUUUGGUACAGUACUUUAUUUGCACUAAAAAAAUUAUGAUAAGGCCACUAUCUCUCACUGUUAUAGGAUAUACUGGAAAUAAUGUACCUCAGUAUUACUCUUUAUCUUCUGAACUCCCCACCAAAGU